GAAGGAGCUUGCUGUGGGAUUUGAAGCUGCAAUGCUUCAGGCAGCUGUGGAAUCGAUCUCUCUUCAGUGACAAUGCCACUGGAUUUCAGUUCCUCACUUUGCAAUGUGUCAUUGUGUUUCCCAGAAUUUUCUCCUCGGUGAUGAUGAUGAAGGAUCAAAAACAGUGGUGUGCACUUUUGAAUAGUUUACAGGAAACUCCACAGAAGCCCCAUGCGAGUGGUGCCUAUUGUUUCCAUGAGCGGAGCCUCCUCUCAGACGCCUUGAGCUUUCUCACAUAG
rnacentral:lncRNA from 1 species